GACGAAGGGGGCUAGCGUUGUUCGGAAUUACUGGGCGUAAAGCGAGUGUAGGUGGUUGUCCAAGUUGGAUGUGAAAUCUCGGAGCUCAACUCCGGAACGGCAUUGGAUACUACUGAGCUUGAGGUUCGGAGGGGAGACUGGAAUUCUCGGUGUAGCAGUGAAAUGCGUAGAUAUCGAGAGGAACACCGGUGGCGAAGGCGAGUCUCUGGACGGAUCCUGACACUGAGGCACGAAAGCUAGGGGAGCAAACAGG
rnacentral:rRNA from 1 species